GGACGGGGCCGGGAUCCGAUUAAGUUUGAUCCUGGCUCAGAACGAACGCUGGUAGCGUGGAUUAGGCAUGCAAGUCGAACGGGAUCCGGCGGAUAGCAAUAUUCGCCGGUGAGAGUGGCGGAUUGGGGAGGAACACGUGAGCAACCUGCCCUGGAGAUGGGGAAAACCGUUGGAAACGACGGCUAAUACCGAAUGUGGCGCCCCGCGGCAUCGCGGGAGCGCUGAAGGGGGCCGCCCGCCCCCGUUCCGGGAUGGGCUCGCGCACCAUUUUUCUUGUUGGCGGGGUAACGGCCCACCAAGGCUCACGGUUAGCUGGUCCCGAGAGGAUGACCAGCCCCACUGGGACUGAGAUACUGCCCAGACCCCUACGGGAGGCUGCAGUCGAGGAUCAUUCGCAAUGGGCGAAAGCCUGACGAUGCGACGCUGCGUGGAGGAUGAAGGCCUUCGGGUCGUAAACUCCUGUCAUAUGGAAAAGGCGAGGGUACCCAACACGUACCUUAGUUGAUUGUACUUUAGAGGAAGGACGGCUAACUCUGUGCCAGCAGCGCGUAUAAGAGGUCCUAGCGUGUCGGAUUACUGGGCGUAAGGCGCGUAGCGGGCGAGGCGAGUAAUGUGAUCUCCGGGCUCACCCGGAAGUGGCCUCUUAACUGUCUCUCUCGACACGUCAAGAAAGAAAUAUAUGGUGGUGUAGACCGGUAUACGUUAUCACCAUGC
rnacentral:rRNA from 1 species